rnacentral:rRNA from 1 species
UACGAAGGGAGCUAGCGUUGUUCGGAAUCACUGGGCGUAAAGCGCACGUAGGCGGAUUUGUCAGUCAGGGGUGAAAUCCCGGGGCUCAACCUCGGAACUGCCUUUGAUACAGCAAGUCUUGAGUUCGAGAGAGGUGGGUGGAAUUCCUAGUGUAGAGGUGAAAUUCGUAGAUAUUAGGAAGAACACCGGUGGCGAAGGCGGCCCACUGGCUCGAUACUGACGCUGAGGUGCGAAAGCGUGGGGGAGCAAACAGGG